rnacentral:rRNA from 1 species
UUUAAGGUAGCCAAAUGUUCAGUAAGCGGUUGAAGGUUUAACGAAAGUUACACUGGACGCAUCUGAAGUAAGCAUUUUGACAUGAGUAGCCACAAGUCCAGAAAUGCUCACAAAACUUUUUGUGCGCAUUGGACGGCCGAAAACCCCAGGUUUUCUGCGAAAGGCAAAACCGCGCAGAGUGAAACGGCUCCUCAGAUCGUACCCGCUCGGGUAGAUUAAGGGGCUGGCACCAGCAUUUUCUCAGUGUACAAUGAUACUUUAUACCAAACACAAACAACACGUUUGUCUAUCCGGUUUUAUAGAUAUGUAUAAAACUCUAAGAUUUUUUUUAUUUUUUUAAAAAAUCGAUAAGAUACUGUUUGCUAAUAUACAGCGCA